UACGUAGGGUGCAAGCGUUGUCCGGAAUUAUUGGGCGUAAAGAGCUCGUAGGCGGCUAAGUAAGUCGGGUGUGAAAACUCCAGGCUCAACCUGGAGACGCCACCUGAUACUGCUUUGGCUAGAGUCCGGUAGGGGAGCAUGGAAUUCCUGGUGUAGCGGUGAAAUGCGCAGAUAUCAGGAGGAACACCAGUGGCGAAGGCGGGGCUCUGGGCCGGAACUGACGCUGAGGAGCGAAAGCGUGGGGAGCAAACAGG
rnacentral:rRNA from 1 species